rnacentral:rRNA from 1 species
CGGUGUGGUCGCGGCCUCCGGGGGCUCCCCCCGGGCGGUAGAGGUAACACUCUUACGCGCCACAUGUCUGAAUCCUUUUUUUACGAGCACCUUUCGUUCUCCUUCGGUGGGGCAACCUGCCGUUGGAACUUAUUAAAACCUUUUUUUGCAUCUAGCAUUACCUGUUCAGAUACAAACAAUCGUUACAACUUUCAACAAUGGAUCUCUUGGCUCUGGCAUCGAUGAAGAACGCAGCGAAAUGCGAUAAGUAGUGUGAAUUGCAGAAUUCAGUGAAUCAUCGAAUCUUUGAACGCACAUUGCGCCCCUUGGUAUUCCAUGGGGCAUGCCUGUUCGAGCGUCAUCUACACCCUCAAGCUCUGCUUGGUGUUGGGCGUCUGUCCCGCCUCUGCGCGUGGACUCGCCCCAAAUUCAUUGGCAGCGGUCUUUGCCUCCUCUCGCGCAGCACAUUGCGCUUCAGAGGGGUGUGGGCCGCGUCCACGAAGCAACAUUAUCGUCUUUGACCUCGGAUCAGGUAGGGAUACCCGCUGAACUUAAGCAUAUCAAUAAGCGGAGGAAAAGAAACCAACAGGGAUUGCCCUAGUAACGGCGAGUGAAGCGGCAACAGCUCAAAUUUGAAAUCUGGCUCUCUUUGGGGGUCCGAGUUGUAAUUUGCAGAGGAUGCUUUGGCAUUGGCGGCGGUCUAAGUUCCUUGGAACAGGACAUCGCAGAGGGUGAGAAUCCCGUACGUGGGCGCCUGCCUUUGCCGUGUAAAGCUCCUUCGA